CCGAUCUAACACUGUAUACAAAAACGAAAUGACGAAAACUCGUACAUAAACAUCGAAAUUCAUUAAAAAAUUUUGCGAAAAUUCAUGAACGUUUUCACUUUCAUGGAACCCAUCGGAAUUUUUCGGCCAUGAUUUUGUGACCCUUCGGAAAAUGUCGUCGACAGCCCUAAUUUUCGUGACCAUUCGGAAAAUGUCGUCGACAGCCCGUCCAGCUUUUCGCCUAUUUGCUGAAGGGCUCGGAAAUUUCGCUGAUUAGCGAAAACCCUUAAGAAAAUGCGAUUUUUUUGUUCCCUUCGGAAAUUACCAUUUUUAGAACCCCUAAGAAAUACAAAUUUUCAGGACCCCUCCGAAGACGUCGUCGACAGGGGGGUGUAGAUAUUAAAUGGAAUGGCCCUUUGAAUUUACACCUGGAAAUUUUGCAAUAGUCGUUUGCGUGUUUUUUGACCGAAAUCCGCUCUCUCUUUGAGACUUUAUUUUUGGGAGUCUCAACUAGUGACAUAUAUUAUUACAACAAGAGCUUUUUACAAAAAAAAAUGUAGUUAUUAAACACGGCAGAAUCGAUGCCACGGCCACGGGUUUUCAAAUUGUCUAUUGUCUAUUGAGUUAAUUGUAUUAUUGAGCAAAUGACAGACUUCACGCAAUAAUG